rnacentral:rRNA from 1 species
AAAUGCUUUUUAAUCAAGCUCUAAUUUGUAUCUAGAUUCACUUUCCAGUAAAUCUACUUUGUUACGACUUAUUUCACAUUAUAAUGAAAGCGACGGGCGAUAUGUACAUAUUUUAGAGCUAAAAUCACUUUAAUAAAUUCAUUAAAAUUACUUUCAAAUCCUAAUUCAAAUUACUUUAAAAAUAACUAUCAAAAAUUAAAUUAUAGUAACCCAUUUCUUCUUAUUUAUAAACUACAUCUUGAUCUGAUUUUUUUUAUUAUUUUAAAUCUUAAAUAUUAAAAUUCUUAUAAAAUAUUUAAACUACGACGAUAUGUAAAUUAAUUAAAAAUAAGUAAAUUAAAUCGUGGACUAUCAAUUACAGAACAGGUUCCUCUGAAUAGACUAAAAUACCGCCAAAAUCUUUAAUUUUAAAGAUCAUAACUAUUACUAAUUUAGUCCUUAAAUUUACGUUUUUAUAAUAGGGUAUCUAAUCCUAGUUUAUUAUAAAGUUUCCUAAAUCAUUAACAAAACUAAAUCUUUUAUAAAUUUAAAAUUUCACUUAAUAAAUUUAACCUAAAAAUUUUAAUUUAUCAAUUUAUUAAAACUAAACUAAUUUAAUUGUAUUAUUUGUGUAACCGCAACUGCUGGCACAAAUUAAGUUAAUACUAUAAUUAUUACUAAAUCUAAAUUUCUUUAAUAUUUAAAAUUAUUUAUUGCAAACUAAUUUAUUAUUUAAAAUUAUUACACUAAAAUUUACAUUUAAAUUAAAAUUAAACUAAAUUUUAAAGUUUAAAUAAAACUUUAUAAACUUAUU